rnacentral:rRNA from 1 species
UGGUGGAGUGAUUUGUCUGGUUAAUCCCGUUAACGAACGAGACCUUAACCUGCUAAAUAGCUACGCGUAGCUUCGGUUACGUGGGCAACUUCUUAGAGGGACGUUGCGUGUCUAACGCAAGGAAGUUCGAGGCAAUAACA